rnacentral:rRNA from 1 species
AAGCCUACGGGACGCAGCAGUGGGGAAUAUUGGGCAAUGGGCGCAAGCCUGACCCAGCAACGCCGCGUGAAGGAAGAAGGCUUUCGGGUUGUAAACUUCUUUUAACAGGGAAGAGUAGAAGACGGUACCUGUCGAAUAAGCCACGGCUAACUCCGUGCCAGCAGCCGCGGUAAUACGGAGGAUGCGAGCGUUAUCCGGAUUUAUUGGGUUUAAAGGGUGCGCAGGCGGCGUGUCAAGUCAGCGGUAAAAUGUCGGGGCUCAACCCCGGCCGGCCGUUGAAACUGGCGUGCUCGAGUUGGAGAGAA